CGAACGAGCACGAUUUCUUCGGAAUGAAGUGCUGAGUGGCGGACGGGUGAGUAACGCGUGGGUACCUGCCUCAUACAGGGGGAUAACAGUUGGAAACGACUGCUAAUACCGCAUAAGAUUGCAUGAUAAAAACUCCGGUGGUAUGAGAUGGACCCGCGUCUGAUUAGCCAGUUGGCGGGGUAACGGCCCACCAAAGCGACGAUCAGUAGCCGACCUGAGAGGGUGACCGGCCACAUUGGGACUGAGACACGGCCCAAACUCCUACGGGAGGCAGCAGUGGGGAAUAUUGCACAAUGGGGGAAACCCUGAUGCAGCGACGCCGCGUGAGCGAAGAAGUAUUUCGGUAUGUAAAGCUCUAUCAGCAGGGAAGAAAAUGACGGUACCUGACUAAGAAGCACCGGCUAAAUACGUGCCAGCAGCCGCGGUAAUACGUAUGGUGCAAGCGUUAUCCGGAUUUACUGGGUGUAAAGGGAGCGUAGACGGAUGGGCAAGUCUGAUGUGAAAACCCGGGGCUCAACCCCGGGACUGCAUUGGAAACUGUUCAUCUAGAGUGCUGGAGAGGUAAGUGGAAUUCCUAGUGUAGCGGUGAAAUGCGUAGAUAUUAGGAGGAACACCAGUGGCGAAGGCGGCUUACUGGACAGUAACUGACGUUGAGGCUCGAAAGCGUGGGGAGCAAACAGGAUUAGAUACCCUGGUAGUCCACGCCGUAAACGAUGACUACUAGGUG
rnacentral:rRNA from 1 species